rnacentral:lncRNA from 1 species
GCGAAGGCCCGGUUACCCUUAGACCGGAUGGGAAGAGAGGUCCUGCAAUGCCCAUAUGUGCCCCCACAGCCCAAUUAAAAACAGAAGGAGAGCCUUGUCGUAACCUGAGCUGAAAUCGAUUACAUCAAAAAUAGAGGAAGGACCUCGUCCUGACACUAAUUAAGGUCUGGUCAUUCAAGACCGGAUAAGAAAAAGAGAACCUUCUCAGCGGCCC